AGGGGUUCCCUCCUGGUCUCCCCUCUUCUAGUAUCCGAGCUCAGCAGAGAGACAUGCUUGUGCUUGGGACAUCUACGGCAUGCAUGCGCUGGUUACGGCUUGUCGGCCGGCCGGGGUAGAUCUUAUCUAUCAGUCGCCGGCCAAUGACAGAAAGCUAAGCCUGUGGAUAGAGCAGAAGCGGCGGAUCUCCGUCACGGCAUCACUUGCGGCUCCGCAUUGGAACCGGCGGGGAGAGACCGGCUGUCGACCGCCGAGCAAGGAUAGAACAAGAAGAAGAAGAAGAAGAAGAAGAAAUGGGUCAUGUCGCUAGCAGCUUCUAUUUGUUUUACUUCUGUUUUUCUCUCUUGCCGCUCAUUAAUUGGUGUACUUCUAUUCUACCAUUGCUUUGAUGUUCUUUGUUGCUCUGCUGUUGUUCCGGAAAUCACUUUGUUGUACUCUUCGGUGGUGUUGAGAUUGAUCGGUUCUGAAAGUUGGCCUGGCCUUUCUGGGCCGUUGACAGGGUUGUCUUGUUUAUACCCUUUCGUGUAUCUUGUUUAGAUCCGCGCUUCAGUAGAGUGGUCCUCGAUGUUA